rnacentral:rRNA from 1 species
CGCUAGGUGUGGGGCUCUUUCCACGAGUUCCGUGCCGCAGCAAACGCAUUAAGCGCCCCGCCUGGGGAGUACGGCCGCAAGGCUAAAACUCAAAGGAAUUGACGGGGGCCCGCACAAGCGGCGGAGCAUGCGGAUUAAUUCGAUGCAACGCGAAGAACCUUACCAAGGCUUGACAUGGGCAGUAAUCCGGCAGAGAUGUCGGGUCCGUAAGGGCUGUUCACAGGUGGUGCAUGGUUGUCGUCAGCUCGUGUCGUGAGAUGUUGGGUUAAGUCCCGCAACGAGCGCAACCCUCGUUCCAUGUUGCCAGCACGUAAUGGUGGGGACUCAUGGGAGACUGCCGGGGUCAACUCGGAGGAAGGUGGGGAUGACGUCAAAUCAUCAUGCCCCUUAUGUCUUGGGCUUCACGCAUGCUACAAUGGCCAGUACAAAGGGCUGCGAGACCGUAAGGUGGAGCGAAUCCCAAAAAGCUGGUCUCAGUUCGGAUCGGGGUCUGCAACUCGACCCCGUGAAGUCGGAGUCGCUAGUAA